rnacentral:rRNA from 1 species
GACGAACGCUGGCGGCGUGCUUAACACAUGCAAGUCGAACGCUGAAGCACCAGCUUGCUGGUGUGGAUGAGUGGCGAACGGGUGAGUAAUACGUGAGUAACCUGCCCUUGACUCUGGGAUAAGCCCGGGAAACUGGGUCUAAUACUGGAUGCUACAUGUCACCGCAUGGUGGUGUGUGGAAAGGGUUUACUGGUCUUGGAUGGGCUCACGGCCUAUCAGCUUGUUGGUGAGGUAAUGGCUCACCAAGGCGACGACGGGUAGCCGGCCUGAGAGGGUGACCGGCCACACUGGGACUGAGACACGGCCCAGACUCCUACGGGAGGCAGCAGUGGGGAAUAUUGCACAAUGGGCGAAAGCCUGAUGCAGCGACGCCGCGUGAGGGAUGACGGCCUUCGGGUUGAAAACCUCUUUCAGCAGGGAAGAAGCCACAAGUGACAGUACCUGCAGAAGAAGCGCCGGCUAACUACGUG